CUCUACUAAAAAUACAAAAUUAGCCGGGUGUGGUGGUGCACGCCGGUAAUCCCAGCUGCUCGGGAGGCUGAAGCAAGACAAUGGCUUGAACCCGGAGGCAGAGGUUAUGGUGAGCUGAGACCCUGCCAUUGCACUCCAGCCUGGGCAACAAGAGCUAAACUGCAUCUCAAUUAAAAAAAAAAAAAAAAAACAACAGUACAGUGAGUGACUAAGUGUUCUAAAUAAAUAAAUAAAUAAAAGCAACAAUCCAUGGAAGAGGUAGACCUUAAAGAUGAGUGGGAUUUGAUCGGAAAACAGUAAAGGCAGAAAUCAGCAUCUCAUCACUGACAACUAUUUAUUAAGCACCUCCAUGUGUUUGGCCAUUAAAUUAAAGUUUUGGGGAUAAAGAGAUGGAAAAUCUUCUUAUUGUCUUUCACCUAAAUACUCUGUGUUUGGGAAAGGCUUAAACAGAUAGCAAAAGACACAGCGACACAAAGAAGCACGCAAUACACAGAGCAAGAGUUUCAGGUAUUCUAAAAAUGCAGGGAACGUAUCCCUGGGACAGAGAGUGAGCAGUUUACAUAGAUCAAAGGGCUCACUCAUGAGAACAACAGCCUUCUCUAAGCCAGGCACUGAAUACUAUGGCUACAAAGAGCUCAGAGUCAACAAGAGGAACCAGGAACUCUAACAUGAUGUGUGGAGCAGGUUAUGAAAAGAGGGGCACCUCUCCCAGUCAGAAGCAUCAGAGAAGGCUUCCUGGUGGCGAUUUGGUGUUCAUAAAACAACCUAUUAAAGAAGUGGUAGAAGAAAGUGAAAGUUUUCACAGUGGAUUAUGUGAAACACAACUAAUGAAACCAGCCAGAGUUCCGGAGUUCUUUUUUUCCCCAGACUUCUCACCAGCCAAAGUUUCACUCUUGUUACCCAGUCUGGAGUGCAAUGGUGCAAUCUGGGCUCACUGCAACCUCCACCUCCCAGGUUCAAGUGAUUCUCCUGCCUCAGCCUUCCAAGUAGCUGGGAUUACAGGUAUGAGCCCCCACACCUGGCUAAUUUUUUUUAUUUUUAGUAGAGGAGAGGUUCCACCAUGUUGA
rnacentral:lncRNA from 1 species